AUUGAACGCUAGCGGGAUGCCUUACACAUGCAAGUCGAACGGAGUGGCGAACGGGUGAGUAAUUUAUCGGAACGUGCCCAGCAGCGGGGGAGAACUACGCCAAUGCGCAGCUAAUACCGAUUACGAUUCAAGCGGUCCAUAACGGCUUAGCUAGUUGGUGGGGUAACGGCUCACCAAGGUCUCGAUCCGUACCUGGUUUGUCAGGACGAACAGCCACACUGGGACAGUGAAACGGCCCAGGCUCCUACGGGAGGCAGCAGUGGGGAAUUUUGGACAAUGGGGGGAACCCUGAUGCAGCCAGUCCGCGUGUUCGAUGAAGGCCCUCGGGUUGUAAAGCACUGUUGGUAGGAUAGCGGUACCUGCAGAAUAAGCACCGGCUAACUUCGUGCCAGGCGCCGCGGUAAUUG
rnacentral:rRNA from 1 species